rnacentral:rRNA from 1 species
GACGAACGCUGGCGGCGCGCCUAACACAUGCAAGUCGAGCGAUGAAGGUUGGUCAGAUCCUUCCGGUGACGAACUUCCGGAUUAUCGGCGAAGGGGGGACUAACGCGUGAUGAACCUGCCUCUCGCAACGGGAUAGCCUCGGGAAACCGGGAUUAAUACCGUAUGACACUAUCGGAUGGCAUCAUCAGGGAAUUAAAGUGCUAGCGGCGAGAGAUGGGCUCGCGUCUGAUUAGUUAAUUGGUGGGGUAACGGCCUACCAAGACUACGAUCAUGAACCGGCCUGAUGAGGGUGAACGGUCACAUUGGAACUGAGACACAGUCCAAACUCCUACGGGAGGCACCAUGGGGGAAUCUUGCACAAUGGGGGAAACCCUGAUGCAUCAACGCCGCGUGAGCGAUGAAUGUUUUCGAAUCGUACAACUCUGUCCUAUGGGAAGAUAAUGACGGAACCAUAGGAGGAAGCCCCGGCUAACUACGUGCCAGCAGCCGCGGUAAUACCUAUGGGGCGAGCGUUGUCCGGAAUUACUGGGCGUAGAGGGUUCGCACGCGGCAUGACAAGUCCGAUGUAUAAGGCGAAAGCUCAACUUUCAUAAGCAUCGGACACUGUCUAGCUUGAGUGAAGGAGAGGCAAGUGGAAUUCCUAGUGUAGCGGUGGAAUGCGUAGAUAUUACGAGGAAUACCGGUGGCGAGGGCGACUUGCUGGACUUCAACUGACGCUGAGGAACGAAAGCGUGGGUAGCAAACAGGAUUAGAUACCCUGGUAGUCCACGCGGUAACCGAUGAGUGCUAGGUGUCGGGUGUCAACCCUCGGUGCGGUCGUUAACACACUAAGCACUCCGCCUGGGGAGUGCGUGCGCAAGCAUGAAUCUCAAUGGAAUGGACGGGGACCCGCACAAGCAGCGGAGCAUGCGGUUUAAUUAGAAGCAACGCGAAGAACGUUCCCAGGACGGGAAAUACUAGCGCCCAUUGGAGAGAUAAAGUGUUUUUUUCGGAAACGCUAAUACAGGUGGUGCACGGUUGUUGUCAGCUCGUGUCGUGAGAGGUUGGGUUAAGUCCUGCAACGAGCGCAACCCUUACUUCUAGUUGCCAGCCAGUAAUGGUGGGAACUAUAGAGGGACUCCGGAUGAUAAUUCGGAGGAAGGGGGGGAGGACGUCAAAUCUUCAUGCCCUUUAGGUCAUGGGCUACCCCCGUGUUCCAAUGGUCGGUACAGAGGGCAGGGCAAGAGGGAUCUCAAGGGAAUGUCAAAAACCCGCUCCCAGUUGGGAUGGCUGGCUGCAAUUGGUCCCCAGGAAGUGGGAGUGGUUAGUAAUGGCAGAUCAGAAUGCUGCGGUGAAUGCGUUCCCGGGUCU